AGCAAACUAUCAAGAAGUUGAAGACAACUUCAACAACCAUUCUCGGCCAAGAAACCAAGAAAACCAAAUCCAAAUCAAGCCACCCCAAAAUUUUUUCCUUGGUAUAAAUCAACUAUUUAGAGGUCCCUAAGUAGCGUGGAAGCAUUGUUGGAGCGAUCAAGUCAUUCAUUUAAGAGAUUACAAACCCUAACCCCUUUGUGGAGUUGAAGAAGAAAGACCUUGGGGAGCCCGAGGCGUAGAUUUGGAGUAGCUUUAGAUUGGCUAGCUUGGAAGUGCGUUCGAGGUACAGACGCGCAGUUCGGUGAUCCCCCAGUUUAGGAUAUCCCCUUCAGCUGUUUGGAGUGCUCUUCUCAUUUCAGAGCAUACACUUUUGGUAUAUACUUUUGUUCGUUAUCUAUGUUGUAUAUAUUCGUUCAUGGGUACGGCGGGGCCCUGUUCCGCCAUAUGAUUCGUUUGGUCUGUUUAGAGGUCUGUAGACUUAUUUGUGGGUGUGUGUGCCUACUACUGUACAGUUAUGUCCAUAUGAUCUCUUUCGUUAUGGCAGCCUUGUCGGCUCGCACAUGUAUAUGUUGUUCUGUUGGCACUGUGUGGCCUUUGUUGGUAUUUGCUGUGUACAGGGUUAUUUUGGAUAGUCCGAAAAACAAAGGAAACUCUGCCGAAAUUUUCUUUGAAAAUCUUGUAAAUUUGAAACACCGCCUUGUCGGCUUCUGUUAUAUACCUGGAUGUGUUUGAUAUAAUCUGAGGCAGCGUUUGAUAUUUGUAACGGUAUAAGUCAUCUGUUUGCCGCUCGGAUUUGUGAUUGUGUUCGGGUGCCCAAUUCGGGCACUAGUCACGGCCCGCGGGGUUUGGGUCGUGACAGAUUGACACGAAUUUGGUGGUAUCCAGAAGACAGAAAAUAUGGUUGACACAUGGAGUUCGUCAAGUAGUUCAUCGAUGUUGGGUAUAGGUAUAUCUUCUAGUAUCUGUAAGAAAUUGCCUAGCAGAUAACUUUCAGUAACUUAUAAGUAACUGCUCAAUCCU